CCUGAAAAAGUAGAAAUAGACUUGAAAGCAAUCAAGUCCUUAAACUAUUUGACUAUGAAGGCUACCACUUGUUCCAUCUCAGGACCAACAGGAAACUGUGAAUUGCAGUGAGAAGGGCAGCCUGGGGAGGCUGGGACCCAGCCCUGAACUGAUCCCUUGCUGGGGUGUGGCCUUCAGGGACACUGUCAGCUACAGAUGCUGGAGGAAAGUCCCUUAUCACAGGCAGGACACAGAAUCCAGCAGGCAUGACCACAAACAAGAGGUCAUCAAAAAAGAUGGUGGUCUACCAAGGAUUCAAGGGGAGCAGGCAGACCAACAAUAGUCUCCAGCAACAAAGACUCCUUGAGCAACUGGGGAGGAAGGCAGAAUUCAGUGGGGAAGUCAGUCUGCAUGCAGCAAGGCCCUUACUGCCAGGCCACGGUGCAAGGAGAGGACUUUGGACCUGGAAGGGGGCCUGGCCAGUGCAGGCAGGCCCUGAGUCCCAGACAGCCUGGGAGCUAGACAAAGCCUUAGCCACCGAGACGCAGACUGUGGAUGCCAAGACUGGGGUCUAUUUCCCCUAAUGAGCUGGAAACUGAAUCUCAGGAACAAGGGAGAGGCCCAAUUUUAGAAUCAGAGCACAAAUGCAAGAUCAGAUCAACACCAAGGGUCUCUGUAAGGAUGAAGCGAGAUGAUGUAUGAAGGGCACCCAGCCAGCGCAUGGACCAGAGAAAGUGCCACAACUUUCUCCAGCUCCUGAGAACCCACGGGGAGCCACAGACCCUUCCUUUCCUGGACUCUGCCUAAGGCCACUGGGCCUUGUUGAAACAUUGACCGUUAGACCCAGCGGGGCUGGACAUGCAGCGCACACGGGCUGUGGCUUCCUCCACUGAAAGGAGAACUCUGCCCAGACCACGGAACAUGUGGUAACGUGACCUCCUCCACCACACAUGUACAUGGACAGAUGGCAAAGAGACACCCCAAGAAGAUAUGUAUUGCCAGAGCCACCGUUAGGGCAAAGACCUGCUUGGGUGAAAAAUGACAGCUGGGAAAGUGUCUGUGUGGCCAAAACGUCAGAUCCUGUAGGCAUCAGCACUGGACCACUGGUUUUACAACCGAUGCCUUUUUUUCUAUCUUUUGCUGACAAGCUUUUCCCCUCUGUUGACUUGACUAAUCAGUUUGUACAUUCUCCACUGAAGUUCCUUUCUGGAGAAUUUCCCUGUCCCAAAAGAUGCCUAUGGAUAUGGACACAUUUUCAGAUAACAACCCCCUUACACCUGGAGUCCUUUCACAAUUUCAUUCUUUCUUGUGUUAUUUGGAGGAGACAAAUGCUCCCAGAGAACAACUGAUCCCCAGGGCUGUAGCAGGGGUUGGGACCUCGCAGAAGGUUGGUAUCUGAGCAUGCGAGGGGACACCUCUGACUCCAAGAACAAGAUACAAGUGUCUUCAGGAAGACUGGAGGUGUCUGCUAUCAACCCCAAUGUCUGACCCAAGUAAGGCCACAGAACUGUUCUGCAUCUGAGUCCCUGAUUUCCAAGUCUUCUGAUUCCCAAGACAGAAGAUCAGCACGUGUUACCUCAGAGACAUCUCCCUGCUCAUUCCACUACACUCCCACUCCCUGGUCAGUGUCAGGAUCCUCCCUGUCCAGAAUCAAGGUGACUCGAUGACACUACUCAGGGGCUCCACAGAAGCCCACUUAUUCAAAGUAAAACUCCCUCUCUUUCUCUUCUCUCUACCUAGGCGUUCAUAGUCCACUAUUAAAAUUCACUUCUCAGAGCAAAGGAAUUAUUUACAAAGGUGAUUGUUACCCAUCCCCUGUGUUUCCUGAAAUGAUACAGAGGCACUGUGAUAUCAUGGAAAACCUUUGCAACAAAUCCCAGCUGGAUCCGAAUCCUAGCUCCACCCUGGCUAAUUGUGUGGUUGUCAGCAAGUAAUCAACCACCUGGAGUUAUGGAGAGGACCAAAGGAGGCGACAGCCCAGAACACAGCUGCACUAUGUGCGCAUGGCACACACUCCACGCACUAUCACUCCUGCUGCCACCCCGCAGCACGGGGGCAGUGGGCAUCGUAGACCUGAAACAGAGAGGGCCGGGAGCAAAAGCAAGCAUGGGCUCCCCUGCUGCCCCACAUCGCCCCGCAGCCCGCGUCUCCUCUGCGACAGACCUGGCCUCCUUACCCAGCAGUCUCCACCAGCUCCCUCCUUCCACCUCAGGUGUCAGCUCAAGGCUGUGCGGGCACAGGCUGUCACCUGUCACCCCGACCAUGGGCACAGCCUCCGGAUGGCUCCCUGCCUCCACUCUGGCUGUUCUCAGUCCAUUCUUCCCACAGGGGCCAGGGUGAUCUUUCCAAAAUGCAGAUCCAGCCGUGUCCCUCUUCUGCUUACAACCCAUCAUCAACUCGGGACAAAGCUCACCUCCAGGCUCUUCACAGUAUGGACCUUGUUAUCCAGCACCUUCUCGCCCCACCAUUUCCUCUGUGAGGAAACACUCGGCCUCAUGGAACUUGUUUCCAUGUCUUCAACACACCAGGCUCUCUCUUGCCCAUUUAUUCUGGGCUCCAGCUCACCACCUGGCUAUUAUUUACCCAACCUCAGGUUUCUUUCUAAACAUCACUUCUUCCAGAAAAAGCCUUCCCUGGCCUCUCCAGGUCUUGGCUGGCAGCAGCCCCACGGGCUUCCUGUCCCAGCAUUUACCAGCCCCCCACCUGCAGCAGCCCCUUCUGUGCACCCCCACCCACCAGACUGCUCUCCCACUGAGGGCAAGAGCAGGUCUCACUUGUCUACUGCUGUACCCCAGGCCCCAGCACAGCAUGUGGUGCAUAAACAUGCUCAGAUAAAUGGUCAGUGCAUGAGCUAAUGAAGCUAUUCUCCAACCUCCUUGCUUUAGCUCUGACAAGGAAUAUCUUCUGGGGCUCAGGGAGGAAGAAUCCCAAUGGUCUAUUUGCAGUGGAAUGAUGUUUAUGUGUUUUCCUUGCAAACUUUUUUGUCUCUCAAAUUCAAAUCUAACGUCCAGGAAUAGGGAUAUAAAGUCAAUGGCAUGAGAGCAGAAGACAGCCACAAAAGGUACCCAGGAAGUGACACUCUAUAUCUCAGACAGUUGCAAAUUGUCUCUGGGGCUCUGUGCCAACAAGUUCCCAGCAGGGAUUUGUGCCUGUUACACUAACAAAAGGAGCCACCUUCAAAUUGCUCAAGGAAUUUACAAGAGAACAGAGUCAUGGUUAAGGUAAGACUCAAAAUAAAAAGAAAUCAACUGACUUUAAAGAAUCUGUAAUGCCUUCAAAUACUGGUUAGGGAAUUGUUUUUCUGUCCUAGUGGUGCAAUGAAUGGG